AUUGAACGCUGGCGGCAGGCCUAACACAUGAAAGUCGAGCGGUAGAGAGGUGCUUGCACCUCUUGCGAGCGGCGGACGGGUGAGUAAUGCCUAGGAAUCCGCCUGGUAGUGGGGAUAACGUCCGGAAACGGACGCUACUACCUCAUACGUCCUAAGGGAGAAAGCAGGGGACCUUCGGGCCUUGCGCUAUCAGAUGAGACUGGGUCGGAUUAGCUAGUUGGUGAGGUAAUGGCUCACCAAGGCGACGAUCCGUAACUGGUCUGAGAGGAUGAUCAGUCACACUGGAACUGAGACACGGUCCAGACUCCUACGGGAGGCAGCAGUGGGGAAUAUUGGACAAUGGGCGAAAGCCUGAUCCAGCCAUGCCGCGUGUGUGAAGAAGGUCUUCGGAUUGUAAAGCACUUUAAGUUGGGAGGAAGGGUACUUACCUAUUACGUGAGUAUUUUGACGUUACCGACAGAAUAAGCACCGGCUAACUCUGUGCCAGCAGCCGCAGUAACAC
rnacentral:rRNA from 1 species